CUAUAUUUUACAUAUAUUUUAUAUUCAGCUACUGUAAUAGGCCACAGAUAGUGAUUGACAGCUUUAUAAGCAAGUCAGAAUCAUACGUUACUCCCAUGGUCCUAAAGUCCGUAAACGAUACACGGACUGAUUUUACUGACGGACAGGAAGUAAGAGCAACAGAAAGUAGCUUCGGUUAAUUGGCCUAUCAGCGAUGAGAACUCCUGAUCACGUAUUAGAUCUGUCAGUCACGCAGGAAAGCCUUUCGCAAUGCUGAGCAGCUCAAAGGGAGGAAUCACCGGGUCUAAAUGAAUGAACAUCCUGACAGUGGCUGCAAACGUGUGUGAAUGGCGGCUGCGCGGCUCCUCCAGCUGCGUCCCACAGUCACCGUUCCAACAAUGGAGGCUGCUCCGCGUUUCCCUCUCACCGCGGCCGCUCCGCACGCAGCCAAUCCACUGAUCACUCCAUCCACCUGUGACCUCACCCACCGCAACUGCAUCCCCACACACGGGCACCGACUCCACACAGGCACAAACACCUGAGCCACAGCUCUUGGAAUGAUUUCACAUUUUCCUAACGGUUGGUUUGAGUCAGUUAAACACAGUAACCUUGAAUGGAACGCGUUUCCUGUGUCCUCUGUGCAGCCGCUCUAAAGCAGUCUCCAAUGUCAGCUGUCUGAGCUGGUGUCAGUGGACAAAGCGCCCUUUGACCUCUGGGAGGGGAAACCCUUCCUCCCAACGCUCGGUUUCAGCGGGUCCAUUGUUUACUCCUGAAGCACUUAACUAACUGUCUUUAACUUUUCUUUUACUUGUUUUCAUGCACUGUUCAUAAAUCAAACACAGACGCAAAAGUGAAAACCCAUUAUUGGUCUUUUGCUCUAAAUCAGCAGGUAGAGAAGCUCUUAUUUUGUAGUAUUUAUUAGUUUGAAGUGACAGCUUGGACUAAUCCACCUCUUACCAGUGAUUCUCUGCGCGUUGCUGCGAGCUGAGCAGGUGUGAGGUCUUUUCUUACUGGCGAGAGGCAACCAGAUGGUGUUUGUGUGUCGUGGCGAUGCAGUGGUGGUUCCUUUCACAGAUCAGCACUCAUAUCUCUGCUCCAUCUCCAGGCUCUCCGCUCAUAUAAACAUCCCCGGCCCACGGACCUCUGAUGUUUUUGCCAUUGUGUUUACAGUGAGAAGUCAGGCAAAUACGUGAACCUUCGGACAAAGAGAACAAGGAUGAACAAUGACUGAGCGCUUGAAUUAGUUGCAGUGAACUAUUACAUUCCUUUUAUAUAGAUGAUGUAAGAUUUAUAAAUGUAUCAAGACAAAACAUUUGACUAGGUGCAAGUGCUGAAAUGUCUCUUCCCUUUAGCAAUCAGCAGGCUUAAACAAUCCAGUUUGAUCCAGCGGUGGAUUUCAUACACACACUGCAGCCUCUGGUCUGUGCGCCACACUCCAAGUUCAAGUACUGAUUGAGCAAAGAGUUGGGUGGAACAAAAAAAAAAAAAAGAGAAAACCAUU